rnacentral:lncRNA from 1 species
AACAAAAAGGUCGACGAGUAAGCUGAAAAAUUACGAAUAAAGCUCGACCGAGCCGUCGGAGCUAAAACUCAAAACCCUUUCCGAUGACCCCUUUUCCGUUUUUCAUUUCACGUAAUUUUUUGACCACCAUGUUCACUAUCAUUUUUUGGUAUAGGUUAGCCGAAGGAUAACUGUAGCCGCAAAGGAAGACUGGUUGAGUCAUCGUACCGUCGGUAAGGUUUCAGUUUUUUUGAAUUUUUCGGUCAACCAAGACCUCAUAACUCAUUUUUU